rnacentral:rRNA from 1 species
GGGGGAAUUUUUAUAUGGGUGAAUCAUGAUAACUUUACGAAUCGCAUAGUCUUGUACUGGCGAUAGUUCAUUCAAAUAUCUGCCCUAUCAACUUUCGAUGGUAGUAUAGAGGACUACCAUGGUGGUAACGGGUAACGGAGAAUCAGGGUUUGAUUCCGGAGAAGGAGCCUGAGAAACGGCUACUACUUCCAAGGAAGGCAGCAGGCGCGCAAAUUACCCAAUCCCGACACGGGGAGGUAGUGACAAAAAAUAACAAUACCGGUCUUAUUUAAGUCUGGUAAUUGGAAUGAGUACAAUCUAAAACCUUUAACGAGUAUCAAUUGGAGGGCAAGUCUGGUGCCAGCAGCCGCGGUAAUUCCAGCUCCAAUAGCAUAUAUUAAAGUUGUUGCAGUUAAAAAGCUCGUAGUUGGAUUUUGAUGUUUACUUUUCAUAACCUGCCUUGUAUAAGGUAUGUUUGUUGUGAAUUGUACAUCUCCUUACUAGACUUUCAUGAUUGCACUUAAUUGAGUGAUCAUUUCAUCUUGAUUCGUUAGGGUGAGUGAUGAGUAGACCUACUGGGUUCGAGAUUGUGGAUGAACUUCUUCGGAGGUUGGUUCUGCUUGGGUUCAGUAACUAUUUAUUAGAAAUCUAGUUCAUUUACUUUGAGUAAAUUAGAGUGUUCAAGGCAAGCAAAUUUGUUUCUGCAAUGAAUACUAUUAGCAUGGGAUAAUGGAACAAGACACGUAUUCUAGUUUUCCGUUGGUUUCUAGAAUUUUUAGUCACUCCUUGGAGUGGCGAAGUGUAAUGAUUAAAAGGGACAGUUGGGGGCAUUCGUAUUUCAUUGUCAGAGGUGAAAUUCUUGGAUUUAUGAAAGACGAACUUCUGCGAAAGCAUUUGUCAAAGAUGUUUUCAUUAAUCAAGAACGAAAGUUAGGGGAUCGAAGACGAUCAGAUACCGUCGUAGUCUUAACCAUAAACCAUGCCGACCAGGGAUUGGAAGAUGUAUUAUCCUGUUUAAAAGCAGGAAA